GAUGAACGCUAGCUACAGGCUUAACACAUGCAAGUCGAGGGGAAACGAUAUUGGAAGCUUGCUUCCGAUAGGCGUCGACCGGCGCACGGGUGAGUAACGCGUAUCCUACCUGCCCACCACUUGGGGAUAACCUUGCGAAAGUAAGACUAAUACCCAAUGAUAUCUCUAGAAGACAUCUGAAGGAGAUUAAAGAUUUAUCGGUGAUGGAUGGGGAUGCGUCUGAUUAGCUUGUUGGCGGGGUAACGGCCCACCAAGGCGACGAUCAGUAGGGGUCCUGAGAGGAAGGUCCCCCACAUUGGAACUGAGAUACGGUCCAAACUCCUACGGGAGGCAGCAGUGAGGAAUAUUGGUCAAUGGGCGAGAGCCUGAACCAGCCAAGUAGCGUGCAGGAUGACGGCCCUAUGGGUUGUAAACUGCUUUUAUAAGGGAAUAAAGUGAGCCUCGUGAGGCUUUUUGCAUGUACCUUAUGAAUAAGGACCGGCUAAUUCCGUGCCAGCCGCCGCAGUAA
rnacentral:rRNA from 1 species